UAGUCUGGCAGGACACACAGCAAACUCCCUCUCAGUUUAGGAGAACUAUCCUAAGAAUAGGACUGGCUCUUAAAGGCACAAGAGGACAAU